UGGGGAAUAUUGCGCAAUGGGGGGAACCCUGACGCAGCAACGCCGCGUGAGUGAAGAAGGCCCUUGGGUUGUAAAGCUCUUUCGCUCGGGAAGAAGGGUGAUGUGGUGAAUAGCCAUGUGAUUUGAUUGUACCGAGAGAAGAAGCACCGGCAAACUUCGUGCCAGCAGCCGCGGUAAUACGAAGGGUGCGAGCGUUGUUCGGAAUUAUUGGGCGUAAAGGGUUCGUAGGCGGGAGAGCAAGUCAUAUGUGAAAGACCUGGGCUAAACUUAGGGGUUGCAGAUGAGACUGUUUUUCUUGAGAGGCGGAGAGGGUGAUGGAAUUGCUGGUGUAGGAGUGACAUCCGUAGAGAUCAGCAGGAACACCGGAGGCGAAGGCGGUUGCCUGGCCGUCGACUGACGCUGAGGAACGAAAGCGUGGGGAGCAAACAGGAUUAGAUACCCCGGUAGUCC
rnacentral:rRNA from 1 species